rnacentral:rRNA from 1 species
GAAUUGACGGGAAGGGCACACAAAGAGUGGAACCUGCGGCUUAAUUUGACUCAACACGGGACAACUCACCGGGUCAAGAUACAGUGAUGAAGGACAGGCGGAAAGACCUUUCCCAAUAAUGUAAGUGGUGGUGCAUGGCCGUUCUUAGUUCGUGGAGUGAUUUGUCUGGUCUAUUCCGAUAACGAGCGAGAUCUCAAUGUUUAACUAUGGGGUGCGCAGCCCGGCCCGUGCCCCGCGCCUGCUCCCGUGCGUGCUUGGGCAACCUUGUGCGUGCGGGGCGGGAAUUGGGGGCGCGGUGCCAGCCGCCGCCUGUGAGCGCGAGCUUCUUCUUAGACAGAUCGGGGCCGAUAAGGUCCCUGAAAUGAGGCAAUAACAGGUCAGUGAUGCCCUUAGAUGUUCCGGGCCGCACGCGGGUUACAAUGGCAUGAAGAGCGCGUAUACCUUCCGUCAAAGGGAGUACAUCCUUGGAAGGCAGCCCCACCACCUAAAGGUCGGCGGUAAUCCCUAGUCCAUGCCUCGACUGGGAUAGUCUAUUGGAAUUAUUGGUCUUGAACGAGGAAUUUUUAGUAGGCGCGCGUCAUUACCGCGCGCCGAAUUAGUCCCUGCCCUUUGUACACACCG